AACGAACGCUGGCGGCAGGCUUAACACAUGCAAGUCGAACGGUUGUAGCAAUACAGCAGUGGCGCACGGGUGAGUAACGCGUGGGAACAUCCCUUUCAGUUCGGAAUAACAGCGGGAAACUGCUGCUAAUACCGGAUAUUCUCUUCGGAGGAAAGAUUUAUCGCUGAAAGAUUGGCCCGCGUCAGAUUAGCUAGUUGGUGAGGUAACGGCUCACCAAGGCUCCGAUCUGUAGCUGGUCUGAGAGGACGACCAGCCACACUGGAACUGAGA
rnacentral:rRNA from 1 species